rnacentral:rRNA from 1 species
GACGAACGCUGGCGGCGUGCCUAAUACAUGCAAGUAGAACGCAGUUGCGAACGCGUGAGUAACGCGUAGGUAACUCUCCAUUAGAGGGGGAUAACUCUCGGAAACGAUAGCUAAUACCGCAUACUAGUAGAUGGACCUGCGCUGUAUUGGCUAGUUGGUAGGGUAAUGGCCUACCUAGGCAACGAUACAUAGCCGACCCUGGGGGGGGGUCGGCCACCCUGGGAAUUGGAAACGGGCCAAGCUCCUACGGGAGGCAGCCGUAGGGAAUUCUCCGGCAUGGGGGGAACCCUUACCGGGCAACGCCGCGUGAGUGGAGAAAGUUUUCGGAUCGUAAAGCUCUGUUGUUAAGGAAGCGGUACUUAACCAGAAAGGGACGGCUAACUACGUGCCAGCAGCCGCGGUAAUAC